GGUUGUAAUUCACAUCGUUGAACGGCGAACAUCACGACCGCAAUUGUCCGUCAGAUGUUGGAUUUAGUUGCGCGAUCUCAUAGACGGUGAAUUUUUCGAACAGCACGUGCUUGGAGACCGGAAGCGGGCUCAACUGAGACGACUGACUGGCGACUAAGCGAGAGCGAUAACGUUACUCGAGCGUGCUCGGUAUGUGUCUCUGAUACUGCGGGGCGGAAAGUUGGGUGUCAAGGACCAGCGAAUACACAGCGAGGGAUGUGGUGUCGUUUUUAUACGAGCAGCGGUUCAAUGCCUUUUCCUCUUCCUGCUAUAUCAGUGAGACACUGAUUUCUGAAGAUGACGGGUAAAUCGGUCAAAGACAUUGACCGCUAUCAGGCUGUUCUCACGUCUCUCCUCGCGUUAGAGGAAAACAAGUUUUGCGCUGAUUGUCACGCCAAAGGUAACAUUAACAUUUCACAGUAUCGCUGCAGUGAACGAAUAAAAGAGAAACUGUUAGAAAA